UACGGAAGGCAGCAGUGGGGAAUAUUGCACAAUGGGCGCAAGCCUGAUGCAGCCAUGCCGCGUGUAUGAAGAAGGCCUUCGGGUUGUAAAGUACUUUCAGUCGUGAGGAAGGUGUUAAGGUUAAUAACCUUAGCAAUUGACGUUAGCGACAGAGGAAGCACCGGCUAACUCCGUGCCAGCAGCCGCGGUAAUACGGAGGGUGCGAGCGUUAAUCGGAAUUACUGGGCGUAAAGGGCACGCAGGCGGUUAAUUAAGUUGGAUGUGAAAUCCCCGGGCUUAACCUGGGAAUGGCAUUCAAGACUGGUUAGCUAGAGUCUUGUAGAGGGGGUAGAAUUCCAUGUGUAGCGGUGAAAUGCGUAGAGAUGUGGAGGAAUACCGGUGGCGAAGGCGGCCCCUGGACAAAGACUGACGCUCAUGUGCGAAAGCGUGGGGAGCAAAC
rnacentral:rRNA from 1 species